rnacentral:rRNA from 1 species
UACGUAGGAGGCAAGCGUUGUCCGGAAUCACUGGGUGUAAAGGGUGCGCAGGUGGAAAGGUAAGUGAGAGGUGAAAUCUUGCGGCUUAACCGCAAAACUGCCUCUCAUACUGCUUUUCUUGAGUACGGAAGAGAAUGAUGGAAUUCCUGGUGUAGCGGUGAAAUGCGUAGAUAUCAGGAAGAACACCAGUGGCGAAGGCGGUCAUUUGGUCCGUUACUGACACUCAAGCACGAAAGCGUGGGGAUCAAACAGG